rnacentral:rRNA from 1 species
AUUGAACGCUGGCGGCAUGCCUUACACAUGCAAGUCGAACGGUAACAGGUCUUCGGAUGCUGACGAGUGGCGAACGGGUGAGUAAUACAUCGGAACGUGCCCGAGAGUGGGGGAUAACGAGGCGAAAGCUUUGCUAAUACCGCAUACGAUCUCAGGAUGAAAGCAGGGGACCGCAAGGCCUUGCGCUCACGGAGCGGCCGAUGGCAGAUUAGGUAGUUGGUGGGAUAAAAGCUUACCAAGCCGACGAUCUGUAGCUGGUCUGAGAGGACGACCAGCCACACUGGGACUGGGACACGGCCCAGACUCCUACGGGAGGCAGCAGUGGGGAAUUUUGGUCAAUGGGCGCAAGCCUGAUCCAGCCAUGCCGCGUGCAGGAUGAAGGCCUUCGGGUUGUAAACUGCUUUUGUACGGAACAAAAAGACUCCUUCUAAUAAAGGGGGUCCAUGACGGUAUCGUAAGAAUAAGCACCGGCUAACUACGUGCCAGCCGCCGCCGUAAGAC